GAUGAACGCUGGCGGCGUGCCUAAUACAUGCAAGUCGAGCGAACAGACGAGGAGCUUGCUCCUCUGACGUUAGCGGCGGACGGGUGAGUAACACGUGGAUAACCUACCUAUAAGACUGGGAUAACUUCGGGAAACCGGAGCUAAUACCGGAUAAUAUAUUGAACCGCAUGGUUCAAUAGUGAAAGACGGUUUUGCUGUCACUUAUAGAUGGAUCCGCGCCGCAUUAGCUAGUUGGUAAGGUAACGGCUUACCAAGGCAACGAUGCGUAGCCGACCUGAGAGGGGGAUAGGCGACACGGGAACUGAGACGCGGUCCAGACUACUACGGGAGGCAGCAGUAGGGAAUCUGCCGCAAAGGGCGAAAGCUUGACGGAGCAACGCCGCGUGAGUGAUGAAGGUCUUCGGAUCGUAAAACUCUGUUAUUAGGGAAGAACAAAUGUGUAAGUAACUAUGCACGUCUUGACGGUACCUAAUCAGAAAGCCACGGCUAACUACGUG
rnacentral:rRNA from 1 species